rnacentral:rRNA from 1 species
GACGAACGCUGGCGGCGUGCUUAACACAUGCAAGUCGAACGGACGAGUGAGAUAAGUUUACUUAACUCACAAGUUAGUGGCGGACGGGUGAGUAACACGUGGAUAAUCUACCUGCAACACCGGGAUAACGCUGUGAAAACGGUGCUAAUACCGGAUACGUUCCCUUGUGCGCAUGUAUGAGGGAAGAAAGCUCAGGCGGUUGCAGAUGAGUCCGCGGCUGAUUAGCUAGUUGGUGAGGUAAAGGCUCACCAAGGCGAUGAUCAGUAGCCGGCCUGAGAGGGUGAACGGGCCACACUGGGACUGAGACACGGCCCAGACUCCUACGGGAGGCAGCAGUGGGGAAUCUUCCGCAAUGGGCGCAAGCCUGACCGGAGCAACGCCGCGUGGGUGAAGAAGGCCUUCGGGUUGUAAGCCUGUCUUAUGGGAAGAAGUCAGUGACGGUACCAGUAGGAGGAAGCCACGGCUAACUACGUGCCAGCAGCCGCGGUAAAAGUACUCUA